GGAGAGGUGGCAGAGCGGUUGAAUGCGGCGGUCUUGAAAACCGUUAGACCCGAAAGGGUCUCGGGAGUUCGAAUCUCCCCCUCUCCG
rnacentral:tRNA from 1 species